rnacentral:rRNA from 1 species
GACGUAGGGCGCGAGCGUUGUCCGGAUUUAUUGGGCGUAAAGAGCUCGUAGGCGGUUUGUCGCGUCGUCCGUGAAAACUCACAGCUUAACUGUGAGCUUGCGGUCGAUACGGGCAGGCUAGAGUUCGGUAGGGGAGACUGGAAUUCCUGGUGUAGCGGUGAAAUGCGCAGAUAUCGGGAGGAACACCGGUGGCGAAGGCGGUUCUCUGGGCCUUACCUGACGCUGAGGAGCGAAAGCGUGGGGAGCGAACAGG